UGUGGUUAAGUUAAUAAGGGCACACGGUGGAUGCCUUGGCGUUAGGAGCCGAAGAAGGACGCAGCGAACUGCGAUAAGCCUCGGGGAGUGGUAAGC
rnacentral:rRNA from 1 species